rnacentral:rRNA from 1 species
CGAAGCUGCGGCAGCGACACUAUGUGUUGUUGGGUAGGGGAGCGUUCUGUAAGCCUGUGAAGGUGUACUGUGAGGUAUGCUGGAGGUAUCAGAAGUGCGAAUGCUGACAUAAGUAACGAUAAAGCGGGUGAAAAGCCCGCUCGCCGGAAGACCAAGGGUUCCUGUCCAACGUUAAUCGGGGCAGGGUGAGUCGACCCCUAAGGCGAGGCCGAAAGGCGUAGUCGAUGGGAAACAGGUUAAUAUUCCUGUACUUGGUGUUACUGCGAAGGGGGGACGGAGAAGGCUAUGUUGGCCGGGCGACGGUUGUCCCGGUUUAAGCGUGUAGGCUGGUUUUCCAGGCAAAUCCGGAAAAUCAAGGCUGAGGCGUGAUGACGAGGCACUACGGUGCUGAAGCAACAAAUGCCCUGCUUCCAGGAAAAGCCUCUAAGCAUCAGGUAACAUCAAAUCGUACCCCAAACCGACACAGGUGGUCAGGUAGAGAAUACCAAGGCGCUUGAGAGAACUCGGGUGAAGGAACUAGGCAAAAUGGUGCCGUAACUUCGGGAGAAGGCACGC